GGGUUGUGAGGUUAAGCGACUAAGCGUACACGGUGGAUGCCCUGGCAGUCAGAGGCGAUGAAGGGCGUGCUAAUCUGCGAUAAGCGCCGGUAAGGUGAUAUGAACCGUUAUAACCGGCGAUACCCGAAUGGGGAAACCCAGUGUGACUCGUCACACUAUCAUUAACUGAAUCCAUAGGUUAAUGAGGCGAACCGGGGGAACUGAAACAUCUAAGUACCCCGAGGAAAAGAAAUCAACCGAGAUUCCCCCAGUAGCGGCGAGCGAACGGGGAGGAGCCCAGAGCCUGAAUCAGCAUGUGUGUUAGUGGAAGCGUCUGGAAAGGCGCGCGAUACAGGGUGACAGCCCCGUACACAAAAGCGCAUGUGCUGUGAGCUCGAUGAGUAGGGCGGGACACGUGGUAUCCUGUCUGAAUAUGGGGGGACCAUCCUCCAAGGCUAAAUACUCCUGACUGACCGAUAGUGAACCAGUACCGUGAGGGAAAGGCGAAAAGAACCCCGGCGAGGGGAGUGAAAAAGAACCUGAAACCGUGUACGUACAAGCAGUGGGAGCACAGGUUUACCUGUGUGACUGCGUACCUUUUGUAUAAUGGGUCAGCGACUUAUAUUCUGUAGCAAGGUUAACCGAAUAGGGGAGCCGCAGGGAAACCGAGUCUUAAUUGGGCGUUAAGUUGCAGGGUAUAGACCCGAAACCCGGUGAUCUAGCCAUGGGCAGGUUGAAGGUUGGGUAACACUAACUGGAGGACCGAACCGACUAAUGUUGAAAAAUUAGCGGAUGACCUGUGGCUGGGGGUGAAAGGCCAAUCAAACCGGGAGAUAGCUGGUUCUCCCCGAAAGCUAUUUAGGUAGCGCCUCGUGAAUUCAUCUCCGGGGGUAGAGCACUGUUUCGGCUAGGGGGCCAUCCCGGCUUACCAACCCGAUGCAAACUGCGAAUACCGGAGAAUGUUAUCACGGGAGACACACGGCGGGUGCUAACGUCCGUCGUGAAGAGGGAAACAACCCAGACCGCCAGCUAAGGUCCCAAAGUCAUGGUUAAGUGGGAAACGAUGUGGGAAGGCCCAGACAGCCAGGAUGUUGGCUUAGAAGCAGCCAUCAUUUAAAGAAAGCGUAAUAGCUCACUGGUCGAGUCGGCCUGCGCGGAAGAUGUAACGGGGCUAAACCAUGCACCGAAGCUGCGGCAGCGAACGUAUCACCCAAGACAACUUUACGGAGUUGACGAUUGACGGAGCGAAGCGACGUCAAAGCGUUCAUUAAAGUCGAGUUGGCUUAGGGAUACGUUCGUUGGGUAGGGGAGCGUUCUGUAAGCCUGCGAAGGUGGCCUGUGAGGGUUGCUGGAGGUAUCAGAAGUGCGAAUGCUGACAUAAGUAACGAUAAAGCGGGUGAAAAGCCCGCUCGCCGGAAGACCAAGGGUUCCUGUCCAACGUUAAUCGGGGCAGGGUGAGUCGACCCCUAAGGCGAGGCCGAAAGGCGUAGUCGAUGGGAAACGGGUUAAUAUUCCCGUACUUGGUGUUACUGCGAAGGGGGGACGGAGAAGGCUAUGUUGGCCGGGCGACGGUUGUCCCGGUUUAAGCGUGUAGGUGUGUGUUCCAGGUAAAUCCGGUUCACUUUAACACUGAGGCGUGACGACGAGGCACUACGGUGCUGAAGCAACAAAUGCCCUGCUUCCAGGAAAAGCCUCUAAGCAUCAGGUAACAUCAAAUCGUACCCCAAACCGACACAGGUGGUCAGGUAGAGAAUACCAAGGCGCUUGAGAGAACUCGGGUGAAGGAACUAGGCAAAAUGGUGCCGUAACUUCGGGAGAAGGCACGCUGACAUGUAGGUGAAGUGAUUUACUCAUGGAGCUGAAGUCAGUCGAAGAUACCAGCUGGCUGCAACUGUUUAUUAAAAACACAGCACUGUGCAAACACGAAAGUGGACGUAUACGGUGUGACGCCUGCCCGGUGCCGGAAGGUUAAUUGAUGGGGUCAGCGCAAGCGAAGCUCCUGAUCGAAGCCCCGGUAAACGGCGGCCGUAACUAUAACGGUCCUAAGGUAGCGAAAUUCCUUGUCGGGUAAGUUCCGACCUGCACGAAUGGCGUAAUGAUGGCCAGGCUGUCUCCACCCGAGACUCAGUGAAAUUGAACUCGCUGUGAAGAUGCAGUGUACCCGCGGCAAGACGGAAAGACCCCGUGAACCUUUACUAUAGCUUGACACUGAACAUUGAGCCUUGAUGUGUAGGAUAGGUGGGAGGCUUUGAAGUGUGGACGCCAGUCUGCAUGGAGCCGACCUUGAAAUACCACCCUUUAAUGUUUGAUGUUCUAACGUGGACCCGUUAUCCGGGUUGCGGACAGUGUCUGGUGGGUAGUUUGACUGGGGCGGUCUCCUCCUAAAGAGUAACGGAGGAGCACGAAGGUUGGCUAAUCCUGGUCGGACAUCAGGAGGUUAGUGCAAUGGCAUAAGCCAGCUUGACUGCGAGCGUGACGGCGCGAGCAGGUGCGAAAGCAGGUCAUAGUGAUCCGGUGGUUCUGAAUGGAAGGGCCAUCGCUCAACGGAUAAAAGGUACUCCGGGGAUAACAGGCUGAUACCGCCCAAGAGUUCAUAUCGACGGCGGUGUUUGGCACCUCGAUGUCGGCUCAUCACAUCCUGGGGCUGAAGUAGGUCCCAAGGGUAUGGCUGUUCGCCAUUUAAAGUGGUACGCGAGCUGGGUUUAGAACGUCGUGAGACAGUUCGGUCCCUAUCUGCCGUGGGCGCUGGAGAACUGAGGGGGGCUGCUCCUAGUACGAGAGGACCGGAGUGGACGCAUCACUGGUGUUCGGGUUGUCAUGCCAAUGGCACUGCCCGGUAGCUAAAUGCGGAAGAGAUAAGUGCUGAAAGCAUCUAAGCACGAAACUUGCCCCGAGAUGAGUUCUCCCUGAGACUUUAGGUCUCCUGAAGGAACGUUGAAGACGACGACGUUGAUAGGCCGGGUGUGUAAGCGCAGCGAUGCGUUGAGCUAACCGGUACUAAUGAACCGUGAGGCUUAACCUUACAACGCCGAAG
rnacentral:rRNA from 1 species